AUUCCAGCUCCAAUAGCGUAUAUUAAUGUUGUUGCAGUUAAAAAGCUCGUAGUUGGAUUUCUGGUCGGAUCGCCUGGCCGGCUCCGCAAGGGGUCGUGCAUGGGUGCCUUCGUCCAUCCUCAGGGGGCCAGGCGCUGGUAUUCACUUAUCGGUGUUUGAACGCCUGUCGUUUACUGUGAACAAAUUAGAGUGUUCAAAGCAAGGUGUACUUGAAUACAUUAGCAUGGAAUAAUAAGAUAGGACUUUGGUGGUUCUUUUUGAUAUUUUGUUGGUUUGCACGCCAAAGUAAUGAUUAAUAGGAGCAGUUGGGGGUAUUCGUAUUCAAUUGUCAGAGGUGAAAUUCUUGGAUUUAUAGAAGACGAACUACUGCGAAAGCAUUUACCAAGGAUGUUUUCAUCA
rnacentral:rRNA from 1 species